UGGGGAAUAUUGGACAAUGGGGGCAACCCUGAUCCAGCAAUGCCGCGUGCGUGAAGAAGGCCUUAGGGUUGUAAAGCGCUUUCGCCCGUGAAGAUGAUGACUGUAGCGGGAGAAGAAGCCCCGGCUAACUCCGUGCCAGCAGCCGCGGUAAUACGGAGGGGGCUAGCGUUGUUCGGAAUUACUGGGCGUAAAGGGCGCGUAGGCGGCCUUCCAAGUCAGGCGUGAAAGCCCCGGGCUCAACCUGGGAGGUGCGCUUGAUACUGGAAGGCUCGAGUCCGGGAGAGGUGAGCGGAAUACCCAGUGUAGGGGUGAAAUUCGUAGAUAUUGGGUGGAACACCGGUGGCGAAGGCGGCUCACUGGACCGGGACUGACGCUGAGGCGCGAAAGCGUGGGGAGCAAACAGGAUUAGAUACCCGGGUAGUCC
rnacentral:rRNA from 1 species